rnacentral:rRNA from 1 species
GCUGCAGUCGAGAAUCUUUCGCAAUGGGCGAAAGCCUGACGAAGCGACGCUGCGUGAGUGAUGAAGGCUUUCGGGUUGUAAAACUCUUUCGCGCAAGAGCAAAGUGGAUUAGUGAAUAACUGAUUCAUAUGAGAGUAC